AGUUGCAAAUGAUCAGAGACGGGUGAACUGCAGGCAGCCUGUGUUGCUGCCUGGAAGUAGAUUUCCAUCUUUCAGACACUAGUUCCAAUGGGCCGGGUGUUCUGGAAGGGGGUGGCAGUGGGGAGGAGGAUGCUGUGAGCAGAGUUCUUGAAGCUCCACUCCUCUGGGGAAGCCGAGCUGUGUGGGAGCCUUCUUACUGUGCCGGGAGCGUGUGAAUUGGAAAGGAUCCUGAGAACUGGCUAGUCCCAGUUCCUCUCCGGAAAAGCAGUGGCUCUCGCUUCAGAGAUGCGCCCAGCUUUCGCCUGCAUCACACUGCAAUUCUACAAAGAAAUUAAAGGAUGUUCUUGAAGAAUUCCAUGGUAAUGGUGUGCUUGCAAAGUAUAAUCCUGAAGGGAAACAAGACAUUCUUAACCAAACAAUAGAUUUUGAAGGUUUCAAACUAUUCAUGAAGACAUUCCUGGAAGCCGAGCUU
rnacentral:sRNA from 1 species